GCUAUUGGAGUUCGAUUAAGACAUGCGAGUCUGAGCAUUAGCUCGGCGUACCGCUCAGUAACACGUGGGUAACCUGCCCUAUCGUUUUGAAUAACCUCGGGAAACUGAGAACAAUACAUCAUAGUCCACUACGCCUGGAACGGUGAGUGGAUGAAGGUAGGAUGGGCCUGCGGCGUAUCAGGUUGUAGGGGGUGUAAUGGACCUCCUAGCCAUCGACGCGUACGGGUGUUGGGAGACAUAGCCCGGAGAUGGAUUCUGAGACACGAAUCCAGGCCCUACGGGGCGCAGCAGUUACGAAAACUUGGCAAUGCGGGAAACCGUGACCAGGGAACUCCAAGUGAGUCUCUUUUAGGGGCUCUUUUCUUGACUCUAAAACGGUCUUGGAAUAAGGGGUGGGUAAGGACGGUGCCAGCCGCCGCGGUAAUACCGGCGCCUCAAGUGGUCGUCGCUUUUAUUGGGCCUAAAACGUCCGUAGCCGGUUUGGUACAUUCGUGGGUAAAUCAGCUCGCUCAACGAGUUGAAUUCUGCGAGGACGGCCAGACUAGGGACCGGGAGAGGUGUGGGGAACUCUCAGGGUAGGGGUAAAAUCCUGUCAUCCUGAGAGGACCACCUGUUGCGAAGGCGCCACACUAGAACGGAUCCGACGGUCAGGGACGAAGCCUAGGGGCACGAACCGGAUUAGAUACCCGGGUAGUCCUAGGUGUAAACGCUGUGGACUUGGUGUUGGGGAAGCCCAGAGCUUUCCCAGUGNCGUAGCGAAGGUGUUGAGUCCACUGCCUGGGGAGUACGGUCGCAAGGCUGAAACUUAAAGGAAUUGGCGGGGG
rnacentral:rRNA from 1 species